UUGUUUACGUUAAAAGACUUUUCUUCAGUGAUAAUGUUUAUUUUUGUGAAUUGAGUCAUUCGGUAUAAUGUUUUGAGUUGAGGAAUUUAGGUUCUGGUCUUUAGGGGAUUUAUUAGGUUCUUCAAAUACUGUAGUGAUUUUUAUGGCUUGUGUAUCCAACUUAUUAUUUUCAUUUUCUCAUGUUCUAUGUGUUACAGAAUUUAAUUUCUAGUGGGAAUCAUGCAUGUCUCCUUUUCUACAUAUUUUGUUUAAUAAUCGAACUUACUCUCACAAUUCUUCCGAGAAGAGUUCAGGAGGUAAUUGUUUUCUCAAGAGCAAAAAUUUUAAUCAACAAGAGAAGGCAGAGCUUAAGUUGCGAAUAUUAUGAGUUUGAACUAGAAUAAAAAUGAGAUAAUUUGCCUGUCUUCUUAUUCUGUCCUUGGUUUGACAUAGAAAUGUCAGAUCUUGAGAGUUAAGUAACUGCAUGCUAGAUCACCAUGAGUUGGUAUCAAGUAGGUUCGUGGUCUUAAUUACAUGUUUUGAUGCGACAGCAAAAUGACUUGCAUUAGUUGCUUUCUGCCCUGCGUUCUGUGUUUUUCAGUUCUGCAUUGCAGGUUGGUUACAUAGUUUUCAUGACUCACGAAAUUGAAAAAUUCACAUUUAUUUGAGGCCAUCUUGUGUUUCUUCUCAUCUAGAAAUUAAUCUUGUUUUUCUCUUUUUCGAUUAUUCCACUUUGCUCACUUAGCAUUGCUAGAAAUUUUACGCUAAUUCCCUUUAUUUCUAACUAUUCGUAGGAUUUUUUGUUUUUCAAGAAAAUAUUAGCAAAAAAGGAAAAAUAAAGAAUACAAUGCACAAAUUAAACGGACAAUUAAAACAUUUCACUAUAUGAAAAUUGUUAUAACCAUAUAGAAUUUCACUUACUAACCCAAUUCCUAGGUAUUACAAAGAAAAAUAAAAUCAAGCUUUAACACACAUUUUCUACUUUUUGUAUGAAAAUUCUAAAGGUGCUAGGCUCACAAUAUUUCUCUCUCUGAUUAACUUUUAUGCCACACCCAAAAUAAUGAAAUACAACAAUUAUUUACAGGAUUAACAAUCAAGUAGAAGAGUUUAAUUUCAACUCAAAUAAGGAAUAUUCUCCAUGGAAGCAAGCCGUUUUAAGUGUUCAUCACAGUGAGAAGAGGAGGUGGUAAUUUCUCAAGUUUAAAUCUUCUCUUUGUAUGUCAUGCUGUAACCUAUUUGUUGAAUUAUUAUCAUCUUUGCCUUCUACUGCCAAAACCCUCGAGGUUAAAACCGUUCUUCAUUAAUCCCUUUUUUUUUUUUUUCAAGGGGAAAUUUAAAAAUGACUGUUGAUUCUCGUGAAAUCUUCAAUUUUACAUUUAUGGGAAACUUCAAAGAAAACUUAAUCUAUUUAGAAAUUAAGCGUGGCUGGUUUCAUGAAUCAAGUAGAUGAUGAUUAAAAUUUUACAUUAAUUUAUAAGUUAAAAAAUUAUUGGAAAGCUGUUAGGUCUUCAUUUUACAUAAAGAAAAAAAAAAGGAAUCCCAUGUUAUUUUCGUGAGUUAAUAGUGAAUCCAUUUAAAUCUGGACAGAAUGAUGAAUGGAAGAUUACAAAAAUUUCUCUACAUUCUUGUUUGUAUGCUGAUUGUGAUAAGAGCAUAAGGUUUUUUGGUUGAUAUUACUUAUGUUCAAAGUAAAGUGUAGUGACUAUGUUUGAAACAUAGUAAAAAUGAUGAUGUUGAGAUCAACAAACAUCACAAUGGAAUUGAUUAAAUUAUAUAGAAUAAAACUUAUCUUCUUCUUGUUGCAUUGUUGGCAAUCAAACAAAGUAUUUCUCUUUUGAUUUUGCCAUCCAUGUACCAGAGAUAUAUUUGGCCAAAUACUUGAAGAAGGAAUGAAGGAUGUUGAAAAUGUAUGAUUUUCUCUUAUGUUUUUUCCUCCAACUUAAACUGUAAUCUUACUUGCUAUUGUUAACUUGAGUGUUCUUAUGUAGGCCAUUCUGUCUGGAUGUUCAGUCGGUGGAUUAGCAUCGAUUUUGCAUUGUGAUAACUUCAAAGCUCUUGUUCCCAAGGUUGCUAAAGUAAAGUGUUUUCCCGAUGCAUGGUAUUUUAUUAACGCGAAGGAUAUCUCUGGAGCACCGCGUAUAGAGGAUUUCUAUUAUGAUGCUGUCAAGACACACAGUGAAACCAGACAGUGAACCAAUCAUAGAUCCAGUGGGUGCAGGCAUCCCUACAAACCCCCCAUUUACGAUAUUAAUGUACCUAACCAGAUCAAAUUGGCAUUUAUAAAGGUACAUGGUUGAUUAUGGUGAUGUUCUGUUCUUGGUAAACUAUUAUUCCAGCAAUGUAUGUCUAUUUUAAGUUGUCGAACAAAAUCUUAUGCUCAACAAAGAAAGAUAAAGUUGGAUUGAAGUAAUUUCA